AUGAAGGAUAGAAAUAUGCUAUUUGCUGCUACUCCAUCCAUUUGUGCAUCAAGUCUGAAGAAGAUCUCAAUCUAUAAUGAAGAAAUGAUAGUAGCUCGUUGUUUUAUAGGCUUUCUCAUAUUCAGUCGGAAGAGUUUAGGUAAGACUUCCAAAGAAACUCUCGACGGGAGAAUCAAGUCUAUUCAGGAAGAAUUGCUGCAAUUCUUCAAUCCUAACAAAGUAAUUCUGGAGGAAUCCAAUGAACAACAAUGA
rnacentral:rRNA from 1 species